rnacentral:lncRNA from 1 species
AAGGAACACCUGGAUGAAAGCUUCAGUCAGAAGCAUCCAGAACAUCCAGAACAUCCAGAACCAGAGGAAUCCUGAGAACAUCAUCGGUUCACUAACUGCAGCAUGAAUGCAUGAAUCUGCAGAAAGAAAGAGCGUCCGGCGAUGGCGGCGGCGGCCUCCUCAGCAGACGGCAGCUCUAAUCUCAUUCAUUAUGAAGCCGUGUGCUGCUGGCGGCGCCUCUGGAGAGGACUUCACCCAGUACUGGCAUCUGUUCAGCUGCAGCGCGGCGAGGAGAAAGCAAGGACGUCUCUGACUC